UGCAGAAUCCCGUGAACCAUCGAGUCUUUGAACGCAAGUUGCGCCCCAAGCCUUCUGGCCGAGGGCACGUCUGCCUGGGUGUCACAAACCGUCGUCCCCCCAAAUCCUUUGCGGAUACGGGACGGAAGCUGGUCUCCCGUGUGUUACCGCACGCGGUUGACCUAAAUCCGAGCCAAGGGCGCCUGGAGCGUUCCGACAUGCGGUGGUGAACUUGAUCCACUUUCCCUAUCGUCGGUCGCUCUUGUCCGGAAGCUCUAGAUGACCCAAAGUCUUCAAAGCGACCCCAGGUCAGGCGGGAUCACCCGCUGAGUUUAAGCAUAUCAAUAAGCGGAGGAAAAGAAACUAACAAGGAUUCCCUUAGUAACGGCGAGCGAACCGGGAAAAGCCCAGCUUGAAAAUCGGACGUCUUCGGCGUUCGA
rnacentral:rRNA from 1 species